rnacentral:tRNA from 6 species
GCCGCCUUAGCUCAGUCGGCAGAGCGACGCAUUCGUAACGCGUAGGUCCGCGGUUCGAUUCCGCGAGGCGGCUUCA